AGAACGCUCUGGAAUCGGUUAAAAGCCGUUGAAAAACCGUUGUGUAGGUCACUCUUUCGGUAAGAAGGGCCCCAGGCGGCAGCGCAGAUCGCAGGCGAUCCCCACCUGGGAGGCAAACCGAGGACCUUGGCGCGUCAAGAGGGAGCGCAGUCGCGCACAGAUCGUAGAGAGCCGCCUGGAUCAGAAUUGGGGCCAUCGCCCCAAGCCACCCUGGAGGGCUGCUGAGCAAUGGGUCCACAAACCUUUGCUGAGCAUCUGCUAUAGCCCUAUGGCCUGGGGCGUGCCGGAGGACAGGGAUGGAUGUUCCUUCCUUGGGGGACACAGAGAAGGCAGGCCACACAUAGUAAACUGCACAGAGGCCUGUGGAGGGAGCUCACCAGGGAACCGGGUCACUGAGGUUUCCCUCAAUUCUUUGAAACACCAAGAACCCGGAAAUCAUCACAGAAGCCAUCCCACACAUAUGUCGCACCAUGACUUGCUGGACAAGAACCAGGGCUCAGGCAGGGCAGAGCGACGGCGGGCACAGGUGGGUGGUGCACCUGCCAGGACGGGCCCUGCGUGCACAGGCUCCAGCUUUCCGAUGAACUAAGGUCUUACAGCCAGCGCUGAAUUACUGCACCCUGCACACGUCGGACCUGAGCGGCCAUGCAUCUCUCUGCAGAGCGCUUGUCUCCUAACGGGGAUCUUUCUAAAAGGCCCACGGUGCUUGAAAGGCUCCAAACUUGCAGUGGCUUCCGGUUGUGCUGAGGAUAAACCCCACACUCCCCAACUGGCCUGCGGAGUCCCGUGAGAUCCGGCCGGCUCCUCCUCCUCCCCGCCUCCUCCCCGCCUCCUCUUGGCUGUCUGAGUCCAGGUGCCAUGCCUUGCCAGCUUGCCCCAGGCCAGAUGAUGACCACAUGUCCUUGGCUUCUUAGCUUAAGGGAGGCUUCCUCAGGGCAGCAGGCCCCUUCCGUUCAGUCGGGGCUCCUGUUGGACAAGGAAGUGAGAAUGAUUUUUGCAACUAUAUUUCAUGCCACCUCCUCACCAGAUUGAGCUCAUGGAGGGUCCAGGGCCCUGCCGUCCCCCUCACUGCUGCAUCCCAGUGCCUGGCAGUGGCAGCUGUUGAGUGAACACGUGAUACGGUGUCUGCAGUAGACACGUCCCGUACCCUGACGUCAGUCGGAGUGUGCAGGCGUGGGGACAGGGGACCCACAGGGAGUCAGUAAAAAUCCACGCGGCCAA